GGUUUUGUCCAUGAGAGUCCCAUUUAGUCUCAUUAAUGUUAAUCCCAUCACGGAACAAACAGGGUAUUGGACUAACAGUUAGUCCAGUCUAGUCCAGUCCGACUUAGUGUUUUCUUACUGUUUGAUUGUAGUAGAGCGGUCUUCCUUGAUUUAUGAGCUUAUAUUUCCUAUUAUAGCAAACAUACGAGGACAGUCUCUUUAAAGAAUAUAUAUAUUAUGGAUAUCAACAUUGGCUAACUCAUAUAGUCAUUGCAUACAGAUGAGUAAAAUUGGUGUUGCCUGUAAAUUACAAGACUAGUGUGAUCUGAUCUUAUCGUAGGUAUAGCGAAAGUGUUCUAGAGAAUGUGGUUAUUUUCUAGUUAUAAAAGUUUCUUGAUAUUAUUAAAAGCUUGACCUUUAGAUGUCUAUAUGGAGUCAUUAUAAAAUAGUCGAUUUUAGUUUUUGAGAAUAUGCCUAGCUAGGAUUAGCAUGGUAUUGUUUGAAGAUUGUGCGGAAGUUGCUUUCUCUGUUAGUCACUGAUUGUGGGAGGUGACGAGUUCAUAACAAGAAGUCCCUGAAAUUGGGUAUGAAGAGAUUUAUCAAGGCUGUAAAAGACUCGAAUUUGUUUUCUCUUGGUAUGCGGCAGUUUAGAGUCACACUUUCUUGUUCAUUAUGGCCACACUUGACUUUACAGUAUACGAUUGCAUUCCUGACCUAUUUAGUUUUUAUCUACUCUUUGCCCCUGAACCGGAGUUGUUGUGACUAUUUCUUCCUCAUUGGUGCUGGUUUCACCUGUCAUUGUAGUCAGGUUUACCACUUCCAUUAAUACUACGACUUUGGUUGGAUCAGUGAUCAUCAUUUUGAGUGUUUCAAAAGUCAAACAAACUUUGUUAGCAAUAAAAAUGUAACAUGGUCUUAGAUUCCUUGUUAUUAUAUCAAAUUGGUGGAAAUUACAAUGUGGAUGGGUGUAACAAAGAAAAAGUAUAUCAUCCUAUGGUGCUUUUCAUGAUUGAUGUGAGGAAGUUCACUUGUACAUCAUUUUCAUUUUGUGUGGGGAGGUUCUUCGGUUGCUGUUUCUCAUUCAGGUGGUAUGGAGUAACCAUUGGUAUUUUUCACAUGAAAUAUGCAGCAGUGGUUUUCCAUGCCGAUCAGUUAUGACGUAAUAUUUGCUUUCAGUUUUACGUUGUAAUAUGUUAGUAUUGGCCCUUUUAUUGUAUUUUGUAGUGAUUCAUAUGUGAGAUUGAGUUCCUAAUUAAGAAAGAGACAGAAAAAGGGAGGGAGUGUUCUAUGUUUGGUUUGACUGAAGACUUGUACACCUAAGCUUUGUGAUUGUUCUUUUGUGAUUUUACUUAGGGAUGGUUUGGUAUUGCUGUGCUUUGAAAAAGAGCUGUUUUUGCUGUGCUGUGAGAAUAAGCAGCUGUGAAAUAAAGCAGCAGAGUGCUUGGUAAACUUUUUUGUAAAAGUGAUUUUGAAAAAAAAAAGCAGUAUUAUAGUGUUUGGUAAACUUUUAUGUAAAACAAAUGUGAAAAAAGUCAGUUUUUCAAAGCUGGGUUUUGCAGCUUUUUGUUUUUGGCUUUUUUUUUUUACCCAAAACUGUGAAAAAAAACUGAAACUGAAUGUUUACCAAACACAAAAAAGCUCCCAGCUUUUUUUGAUACCUACUUUUUUCAGAAUCACCCAGGUCUUAGGCUAAAGUCUCUCAUACACUCGAUUAUGUUACAUAGGCCAUGGAUGGUGUAGGGGAGGGAGGGAGGGAGGGAGAGAGGGAGGGAAGACUUGUACACCUAAGCUUUGUGAUUGUUCUUUUGUGAUUUUACUUAGGCUAAAGUCUCUCAUACACUCGAUUAUGUCACAUAGGCCAUGGAUGGUGUAGGGCGAUUAUGUCACACAGGCCAUGGAUGGUGGGGGGGGGGGGGAGGGAGGGGGAUGGUGUAGGGCGAUUAUGUCACAUAGGCCAUGGAUGGUGUAGGGGAGGGAGGGAGGGAGGGAGGAAUUGAGUCUGUUCUUGUAGAGUUGAAUUGAAAACUAUGAAUGUUUCUUUGUCAUUGAUGUCUGAAAAAAUGAUAAUUCCCUUUUCUUCACCGAUCUUUUCUAUCAGCAACAUAGUAUUCAAAUAUCAUUUCCCCUUUCGCAGUUUAUUGUCAUGUGACAUUGUUGUGACUUGGUACUUUUCAGGCAGAUGUUAUAAUGGCUUUAGCUGGAUCAAAUGGAGGAUCUUGGUCAACAACCUACUCACUAAAACCUAAUGCGAGGCCAGGCAGUGAAAGUCGCAUGCCUAGUGGAGAGGUUGAAACCGGUACA
rnacentral:lncRNA from 1 species